UAACGCGUAGGUAACCUGCCUUGUAGCGGGGGAUAACUAUUGGAAACGAUAGCUAAUACCGCAUAACAAUGGAUGACACAUGUCAUUUAUUUGAAAGGGGCAAUUGCUCCACUACAAGAUGGACCUGCGUUGUAUUAGCUAGUAGGUGAGGUAGCGGCUCACCUAGGCGACGAUACAUAGCCGACCUGAGAGGGUGAUCGGCCACACUGGGACUGAGACACGGCCCAG
rnacentral:rRNA from 1 species